CCAAAAUGGUGUUGAGCCUUGAA
rnacentral:siRNA from 1 species